CCCGCUGAACUUAAGCAUAUCAAUAAGCGGAGGAAAAGAAACUAACAAGGAUUCCCCUAGUAACUGCGAGUGAAGCGGGAAAAGCUCAAAUUUAAAAUCUGAGGGUCUUUAUGGCCUUCCGAGUUGUAAUCUAGAGAAGUGCUAUCCGCGCCGGACCGUGUACAAGUCUUCUGGAAGGGAGCGUCGUAGAGGGUGAGAAUCCCGUCUUUGACACGGACAACCGGUGCUUUUGUGAUGCGCUCUCGAAGAGUCGAGUUGUUUGGGAAUGCAGCUCAAAAUGGGUGGUAAAUUCCAUCUAAAGCUAAAUAUUGGCGAGAGACCGAUAGCGAACAAGUACCGUGAGGGAAAGAUGAAAAGCACUUUGGAAAGAGAGUUAAACAGUACGUGAAAUUGUUGAGAGGGAAACGUUUGAAGUCAGUCGCGUCGGCCGAGACUCAACCUUGCUUCUGCUCGGUGCACUUCUCGGUUGACGGGUCAGCAUCAAUUUUGACCGCCGGAUAAAGGUCGGGGGAAUGUGGCAUCCUUCGGGAUGUGUUAUAGACCUCGAUUCGGAUACGGCGAUUGGGAUUGAGGAACUCGGCGCUUUGCGUCCAGGAUGCUGGCAUAAUGGCUUUAAGCGACCCGUCUUGAAACACGG
rnacentral:rRNA from 1 species